rfam:Trichobilharzia regenti genome assembly, scaffold: TRE_scaffold0006726
GUACUGAUGAAGAGUCCCAAAAUGAGACGAAACAGUUGUCCAGUAC